GGAGACUUUUGAUAUUUAUACAGACCGUAGGAGCUUGAAGCAUACAUUCACUUAGAAGGAUCUCAAUAUGCGUCAGAGGCGUUGGAUAGAGCUCUCAAGAACUCCGAUUUUAAGAUUUUGUAUCACCCGGGCAAGAACAAUGUAAUAGUCAACGCGUUCGGCAGAAAAAGUAUAGAUAUGUUGGCUCACUUAAUGGUUUCUGAAUGCAGGGUAAUAGGAGUUGUGCAACAAAUACGACUUCAAGAUUUGAAAAGGGUUAUAUGCUUGACCCAUCUAACUGUCCAACCUGAACUGAUUCAGAGAAUAUUGGUAAAAUGUGAUGUUAGUGUGUGGCUGGUGAGUGAUUGAUGAUAUGAAUCUAUGUUCGAAAGACUUAUCUGGUACCUUGAAAAAGGGUGUCUGGACCCGAUACAUAGGAAAAAUCCUACAUGGGCAUUACUUCAGUCGAACGAGAUUGAGAAGUCCCACACUGGAAGGGGUUGGGAGGAUAAUUCACCUUCAUACCGGACGAGAUAUUGAGACAGUGAUAUGAUUGACGCCCAUUACUAGACAGGAUAUGGGGAUGACUGGUUAAUCAAUAAAUUAGAUUUGGGUCUACGCGUAGGAGAGAUCUCUAUGGACCUCCAGAGGUACUGAUAAGCAGGUAAGAAGAUAAGUUAUUAUUAUUGCUCAUUUGGAUAUGAAAUUCAAUGUUAUCCGAAUUAUUGUCUUCGUAGGUCAUUUUUUAAAAUUCAUAAGGGUAAUUAUGAAACAACAUUUUUUUUUAAAAGUUAAAUAAAGUUAUUUAAGAAAGUAAAUGGCUCCAUUGGUGGUUUUAUAAUUUUUUUUACCAACAUUCGAUUUUCUGUAUCAAUGAUUAGUGUGAUAUUUUUAGUAGGCUAGUGUACCUCAUCCCCUCUAUUUAACUAUUUCAAAUUAAGAAGACCAAGAUCCAAAUCCUGAACAACAUGAGGAUUGGGAGGAAAUUUUACCUCCUGGAUCUCAUCAAAGUUGCUCAGUAGAGGUUAACCUUAUAGGAUUUUUAUUUCUUUUGCUUUAACCAUUUACUCCAUUACUAUGAACUAGUAUAAAAUAGACGUUUUCUUAACCCUAUUGGGUAUCCAACUUUACUUUGUAAGAAAUGUAAACCAUAAAUUUUUAAAUUGCUUAUACUUAUAGUUGCUAUAAUGCAAUGUUUCUAUUUUCUUUUAGCUUUGGGCCUUUACAGAGAUAAUGAACCCUAAUAAAGACUAUGAAGACAACUUUUGAAUAUGCAAUAACUUGGAGUAGAUCUCUAGAGGAAUGUUUUCUAAGUUCACUAGAGAUCCAGAGAAAAGUAAGACCCCUAGAGUUAAACUGUAUAUCCACGGAAAUUUCGACAACUUUUAUAACUCAAAUCGACUGAAUUAGGCAAGUAACCCUGACUUCUUAAAUUAACCUUGGAACAUAACCAUGCCAUCAGACAAAUUAAGAUGAUGCCCUUUAUUUACUCUGAAAUUUUGACAACUCUUAUAACUCAAAUCGACCGAAUUAGGCAAGUAACCCUAACUUGCUAAAUUAACCUUAGAACAUAACCACGCCAUGAGACAAAUUAAGAUGAUGCCCUUUCUCUACGCUGAAAUUUCGAUAACUUUUAUAACAAAUUGACUGAAUUAGGUAAGUAACCCCAACCUGCUAAAUUAAUCUUGAAACAUAACCAAACAUCCUAAUCUCUAAGGUACCCUGGGGAAAAGGUAACAUACUAAAUUGAACUCACAGAUGCUGCUGAAAAGAAAAACUAGCCCUAGCCCUUAGAUGUAUCUACUAGGAUCCCUUGAACAAUAAAGUAGACUCUAACUUUUGCCAGUAACUACCAGUAACUCUAGAAUAAUCACCAUGAUAUGAGAACAUAUACCCAAGCCCUACCCGACUUCUCAAAUAAGUUUCUAUAGCAUAUGUGAAUAAAAUUUAGUGGCACUUAAAGAGGGUCACACUUCGAGACCAAAUAAUUAUUUGAUUUAUUGAUUUUACCUUCAGACAUUUAGGGUGACCAUCCCUCAUGAUGAUGUUACAAUCUAAAAAAAAUCUAUGCUUAAUAAUUUGCACUCUUUAGAAGAAAGAAAACAUACUCAAACCUAAAAGGGAUUAGGAAAUAGAACAUAUCUCAUCAAAAUUGUUGUGACCAAAGACCCAUAAAAAUAGACGCUACAAAUCAUGAUCGAAAUGUUAACAAAACAUCAGUCAAGGCACCUUUAGGGAAGUAGGCCUUGAUGAGUGCAAGGACCGGUAUGACUUACUAGAGGGACUAAACUCUUUAGAUACUUAAUUAUUGAGAGGAAGGUAGUCAAUCAUCAAUGAUACCAAAGACCGUUCCAUAACCUCGAAAUUAAUUUCAGAAAAAUUAGAAAACCUAUGCAAUAGAAUCUUGAUAGCACUAAUUUUGGAAGAAUAUAAAAAUAGACAUGCCACUGAGGGUACUAAAAAAAUUAAGAGUCGCGGGGUUAUAUGAUGAGGAUAAAUGAUUUGACAAGAGCACUUAGGAUCUGACCUAUAAAGAGGUAUACGUGCGUAUACUGGAUCGAAGGGAUAAAAUGAUACUCCUAGUAAAGGUUUAUUGCAACACCACUCACACAAAGAAGCGACAUGGGGACAAGAAGAGGAGACAAAAGCUGAAUACCCUUUGUUAUAUUGAAAAAUGUAUAAUAAAUUUGGAUGAUCAAAUUUUUUGAAGGGGGGAGAUUGUAAUGAACCAGAAAUAGAAGCUUCUAGAGUUCGAAAUCUGGACUAGUGUAUAAAAUUUUGAGUGCAAAUUUAAUGAAAUAAUUUCAAAAAUUCACCACUAAAUUUAAUUAAUGUUGAUUAAUUAAGUUAACGAUUUUUAAAGAAAUACUACACUUGGAAAGAAUACAAAAAUUUCCAAUAAAUAACUUUAAAAUUUUAAAUAUUGAAUAAAAUUAAGAAAAAAAUCCUACACAGGGGUUAAUCGAAAAAGAUUUGGAAAGUUAAGAAAAGUCUGUAAAUUAGGAGGACCAAAAUGAAAAGAUUCUCAAAAUUCAAGGCAAAACUAUAAAUUUAAGAAAUCUCAACACCUCAGUCGUUGAGGUGUCUCUAGAGGCCAAUUAGGGUUGACCACGCAGGUACAUGGGAGAGAAAGCCGAUUAAUGACUCUAAAUGAGCCGCAUAGGUAAAUUGAAGAACGAAAACGAAAUAGAGGAGAAAAUAACCAAAUGUGGACCACGCGGAGGAGAAGGAGGUGAGAAUGAAAAAUGGACGAUUAGGAUUGCCCGACGGAAACCAUCUAAUGACAGGGAUUCCAUCUUGCCCAAAGCUAAAGAAAAUUAUAAGAAUGCUCUGAAUCGGAUGGCCAGGAUGCCCUUUUGCAUAAAGGGCCCGGUGAAAUGUUCAUAUUGCCUUUAAUGAAACCCUAAAAUAAGACGAUCAUGGUUUAUUCCCUAGACCCAACAAUUGUUAUUUGACCUCACCUUAUAUAUAUUUAUACAUACAUUUUUAAGUAGAUACUAAAGAGUGAGAAACUGAUCGACGAGGAAGAGAGAGGAGUGAAAACUGAGAAGAGAGGUCACGCAUGAAGAAGAGUGUUGGGAGCUCCAGUGUUGUUGCUACCAAGAGUUCCGUUAUGUUUGGUAAGGCACCCUCUAUUUAAGGUUUUAGCUUGAUUUAUUGCUUUGGAAAACUAAAAAUUUGAGUAAUUCGAGUAGGCUACCUGCAGGUUACGACAGAGAGGGGUUGACAUCGCCAUGAGCGACUCUUCAAACCGAGAUCAAGAGUAAUAACAACUUGGUUCCUAUCCCCAUAUCCUUGGUUCGUUUGUCCAUUUCAUUUUUUUAAAAAUUAUCCAUUGAAUAUUAUUGCUACGAGGAUAUUUAGAUGUGUUAAUUUAUCAUCUAAAUAUCCUGAAUGCUUGUGUUAAUUUACAUUUAGUUAGACUCUACGAUCAAAUUUUGGAAGGUCUAAAACUAUAUCUAAUUUACCAGUUGCGUAUGACAUAACCAACAUUUUAGUGAGUUUAAAAUGAAAUUGGUUAUGUUGGUAUUAAGGUUUUAGGGUUUAUUUCAGAAUUGUUUAAGACUUUGGGAGUGAAACUGUAUCAAAGUUGCCACCAUUUUUAAUCCAUUAGGGUCACAAAACACUGGGCAAAAAUUGACUAAAAUUAGUUAAGUGAACUAACUAGUAGUACAAGUAAGUUAGACUAAAACUUGGUAAGUUGUUGAGUCAAAAUAAAAAUGAGUACUGAUUUUAAUUAAAUUUAAAUAGGUCAACUGGUAAAUUUAAUAGGCUGGGCUAAAAAAAAGAAAAAAUAUUAAGUUUUAUUGUUUAUAAGAUAACUAAAGAAAAUAGGUGUUGAGUCGGUUGAGUGUAAAAAUUUAAUAGUAGUAAAUCUAAUUUACAUCAUUAAUAAGAAAAUUGAGAGCAAAUACGUGAACCCAUGAAUUUUAAGGGGUUUUCUAAUGUUAAAAUUUUCACCUUCAUUAAGGUAACCUAUAUAACGAGGCUCAAGAGAGAGAAGGGAGUCCAGGCCCAGGCCAGAAAAGAAAAGAAAAAAAUUAAAAAAAAAAGAAAAGAAACCCUAGCAGAAGAAGAAGAAGGAAGAUGAGAGAAUGAGAAAGAAAAAAGCAUGGCACGUGGCCAGAAAAGAGGAUGUUGUAUGCACAGUGUUGGGCGCACGGCGCGCGCUGCCAAAGAAGAAGAAGGAGGAGGAGGAGGAGGAGGAGGAGGAGGAGGAAGGAGGUAGGGCGAGUGGUGCAUGCAACCGGAAAGGAAGGGUUGCGCUCGGUGCUGAGCACGCGACGUGCGAUGCUGGGCGCGGUAUGCCAGGCGCACAACACGCGACAUACGGUGUUGAGCACCCUAUGCUAAGUGUGCGGCACGCGGUGCUGGGCACGCGGUGCUGGGCACGCGACACGCGGUGCUAGGCGCGCAGCACGCGAUGCGUGGUGCUGGGCGCGCUAUGCCAGGCGUGCAGCACGCGACGUACGGUGAUGGGCACGCUUGCCACGUGUGCAGCACACUGUGCCCAGGCGUGUGGCGUGCAAUGUUGGGCAUGCGACGCGCGUUGCUGAAGAAGAAGAAGCAAAACGCGUGUUGGGUGGACCUGAUCUACGUGAGGCAGACCACGAUACGAUGUUCUAGAUCUAUUCAAAGAUCCGUGCGAGGCCAAAAAUCAGGGAAUCGGAGAGAGAGAGAUCGAAAUCACACUCUUUUGGGUAGAAAGGCCAAAUUCGACACUGAUUUCGGAAAAAGCUUACCGUGUAUCAUGGGAGAGAGUUUACGGACUUGGUACAUAUGGUGAACUCCACUGUGAAUGUGUCCUCAGUCGUACGGAGCUGGGAAGUCGCAUACCGGAUGAGAUAUUGAGACGAUUUAUAAUUAUAACACUCAUUACCGGAUAGAGUAUUGAGACGAUUUAUAAUUAUGGCGUCCAUUACCGGACGGAGUAUGAGAACGGUUAGUGAAUUAUAAAAGAAAUAUUUUGUAUAUCCACGUGUAGCGGAGAUCCCUAUAGGCCCCUAGUGAUACCAGUAAUGGAAAUAAAAAUAUGUCAUGGAAAUGAAAGUGAUAUGGAUACAUAUCUGGGGUGGUUGAUGGUAUUUGUGAACGAAACGAAAUUAUCUGAAUAUGAAUCCAAUGCGAUAUGAUGAUAUUUAUGAAUGAGAAAGAUAUGUACGGUACCUAGAUAUAUGUUAGAAUGAGUAAUAAAAAGGGAUGUGGUUCUUGAUUGUUUCUUUUGUUAUAGUUAGCGAUAAUGAUGAUGAAUAUGGUUGUCUUGCAAACUAGAUUUCUAUGAAUAUAAAAUUUGCAUUUAUUUAAACCUUUAUGAAUGUGCAUUUGCAUAUAUCUGUUUUGAAUACUACUUUAUUCUUAUUGAGUCUGUAAAGUUCUUCCCAAUUCACCCUCCCCCAAUGUAAAUUAGUUCAGGUCAUGAGUGAGUUCAAGAUCAAAGGAAGACUUUGAAGAAUCUUUUAGCUACCUUAAGACAUUAUUGUAAAGUAGAUUAGAAUAUAUUAUUGUGAUAUAAUUUCGAAAGAUUGUUAUAAGUUUCAUGAAUUAUGACUCCGUACAAGGGAGUAUUAUUGA